UUCGUAGCUUCCAAGCCUAGACAAGAGAUCAUAUACGCGGCUUUUGCGUUUGUUUAUGUCUGAUUUGCACCGAUUUUGGUCGGAUCUAUUUCUGAUUUUGUUUUCUGUUUGAGCACCGGUUGUUUUUGCAUCGCUGGGAAGUUAAUUUUCUACAACUGAGAGUUUUCCUGGCUAAGAGGAUAUUUUGUGGUUUGGUUCCUUGCUUGGUCAGUCUCAGGUUUACGGUACCGACGGUUCCGACGGUCCUGUUAUUUUUUGGAAAAUCAGGAAUUUGAACAUCAGCUUGCGACUUCGCUGUCGAUUUGAACGCCACCAGCUUCGAUGCAGUCCUUGGAGACACCCCUGCCUCUUUGCCAUAGUCAAAUUCUUCGCUCACUGGUGCAAAACACCAUAGAGUAUUUAAACAUCAUCGGGGCCUUGGAUGAGAAUGAGAAUCUGACUGUUUUAGAUAUUUCAGAAUUUUAGAAAGCAGGUGCGGUUUGAUCAAUUAAGGCCAACCUGAUUUACAGAGGUUUGAUUAAAGGUACACUACUAAUUACCUCACUUUUCUCCCAAG
rnacentral:sRNA from 1 species